UACGUAGGGGGCAAGCGUUGUCCGGAUUUAUUGGGCGUAAAGAGCGUGUAGGCGGCCAGGGAGGUCCGUUGUGAAAACUCGAGGCUCAACCUCGAGACGCCGAUGGAAACCCCCUGGCUAGAGUCCGGAAGAGGAGAGUGGAAUUCCUGGUGUAGCGGUGAAAUGCGCAGAUAUCAGGAGGAACACCAGCGGCGAAGGCGGCGCUCUGGGCCGGUACUGACGCUGAGGAGCGAAAGCGUGGGUAGCAAACAGG
rnacentral:rRNA from 1 species